GACGAACGCUGGCGGCGUGCUUAACACAUGCAAGUCGAACGGAAAGGCCCUGCUUUUGUGGGGUGCUCGAGUGGCGAACGGGUGAGUAACACGUGAGUAACCUGCCCUUGACUUUGGGAUAACUUCAGGAAACUGGGGCUAAUACCGGAUAGGAGCUCCUGCUGCAUGGUGGGGGUUGGAAAGUUUCGGCGGUUGGGGAUGGACUCGCGGCUUAUCAGCUUGUUGGUGGGGUAGUGGCUUACCAAGGCUUUGACGGGUAGCCGGCCUGAGAGGGGUACCGGCCACAUUGGGACUGGGAUACGGCCCAGACUCCUACGGGAGGCAGCAGUGGGGAAUAUUGCACAAUGGGCGGAAGCCUGAUGCAGCAACGCCGCGUGCGGGAUGACGGCCUUCGGGUUGUAAACCGCUUUCGCCUGUGACGAAGCGUGAGUGACGGUAAUGGGUAAAGAAGCACCGGCUAACUACGUG
rnacentral:rRNA from 1 species